rnacentral:rRNA from 1 species
AUUGAACGCUGGCGGCAUGCCUUACACAUGCAAGUCGAACGGUAACAGGUCUUCGGAUGCUGACGAGUGGCGAACGGGUGAGUAAUACAUCGGAACGUGCCUAGUAGUGUGGGAUAACUACUCGAAAGAGUGGCUAAUACCGCAUGAGAUCUACGGAUGAAAGCAGGGGAUCGCAAGACCUUGUGCUACUAGAGCGGCCGAUGGCAGAUUAGGUAGUUGGUGGGAUAAAAGCUUACCAAGCCGACGAGCUGUAGCUGGUCUGAGAGGACGAUCAGCCACACUGGGACUGAGACACGGCCCAGACUCCUACGGGAGGCAGCAGUGGGGAAUUUUGGACAAUGGGCGAAAGCCUGAUCCAGCAAUGCCGCGUGCAGGAUGAAGGCCUUCGGGUUGUAAACUGCUUUUGUACGGAACGAAAAGCCCUGGGCUAAUACCCUGGGGUCAUGACGGUACCGUAAGAAUAAGCACCGGCUAACUACGUGCCAGCCGCCGCCGUAA